CAGUCCUGUUGAAAUGGAGGAACAAGCAGUUAAGAAGCAAUUAGACAGAGUCUGCUGGAAGAUAUUAGGAAUUGCUCAACUGAACCAAGACUCACUGUGCAGCCACCUCAGAGCUACAGCGUCGGAGGACAAUGCAGUUCUGGCCAGCUUACAGGAAAUAAAGGUUGCAACAAAAAAAAAUACAGGACAUGGCACUCGUCGCCAAAAUAAAAAGACAAACAAAAUGGACUAUACAGACAAAACACGGGGACUGAUGUGUGACACUUGAUGAGGCAUGCAGUAUUAUUGAAGACUUGUUUAUAUAAUAUGUCACCAGCUAGGACACCAGGUCAGGUCAUGCCCAUCUGCGAUGGAGUGUGAUGUGGCAGCUUGCAAUUGGGCAUUAGAAGCAGAAAUACAAACAAAGAGAGAAGGACCAAAAAUGGGAGGGAGCAUCAAUGAGAUGAGGCUGUGUGGUGGGAGAGUGCUCUGAGAGUACCAAACGGCAAUCAAAGGGAGUUUGUACACAGUGUGACCGAGAGGGCGAGGUUACUGGACCAUCUAUGGCAGAGGCUACUCCAGCCCAUCUCAAUAUACCAGACAAGUGGAACUCUUUCCACGCUUCAUUAUUAAGGGGCAAUUGUUAUAUAGGAUAAACCUUGCCACAGGCACAGGACAGCCUGUAACACAAUUGAUAGUUCCCCCAUCUUGUCGGCUUGAGGUCAUGAGACUGGCGCAUAAUAUCCCUUUUGCAUGGCAUGUUGGAGCUGAUAAAAUGAGGGAAUGGAUAUUUGCUCAAUUUUAUUGCGUGGGGCUUCAUAAGGAAGUGUCGAAAUAUGUAGCCAAGCACACCCUGGCCGAACAAAUUGUAUUUCUAAAAUGGCAAAAAGGUAUCAAGUUUGCUGCAGGAACACUUUUCAAAUCAUAGACACUUUGAUAAUCCACAAAUCUUUACUUGAAAUCUAGGAAUUGAGAAAAGCAAAUCAGGCGAAGUAAUAAAAUAACCCUAGUGAUUGUUACUUAUACUAUAGCUGUUAAUUUCUUCAUAUGAUUUGUUCUAAAAGGUUGUGAGAUAUAAAUCUAUAGUGACAGUUUAUAAGCUUUUUUGACAGAUGAGGCACCAAUGAAGAAAUUAUUUCUACCAUUUGUUUUAAUGAUAAUUUGUUUUUACUGCAUCCAUGUAAUAAAUACUACACCAUUAUUCUAAUUAUUGAAUAAUACAUUAGCUCAAAG